rnacentral:rRNA from 1 species
AUGGUUUUGGAGGACGAAAGCAGCGACGACCAUUCUAGCCUCCCGUACAUGCAUUCUUCCUCCACAGACGGUCUCAACGAGGUUCUGAUUUGGCCAUUGUCUUUGUGCGAGCUUCUGCAGGUCCCUUUCAGCAUUGAAGAUCCAGAUUACAAGGGGCUUGAGCUGGAUGUGAUGUCUCCAUGUGAGAAGCACGGCAUGGCAUCUAAGAGGCUUGUUGCCUUUGAAGGAACAGACACAGGCAAGAGGUUUUUAGCAUGUGCACAGCCGGAAGGUAGCAAUUGUGGUUUUGUUGAAUGGGUUGAUCACCAGUGGCCCCCAGCAAUGCAGAAUGCAUUGUUGAAGCUAUGGGAAAUGGUUGAAGAUGCCAAAAGUGCUAGGAUGAAUGACAAUCUUGAAAGUUCUUUCACUAUCCACCAUCUGACAGAAGAGAAGAACAAGCUGGAGGCCAACUAUGACAAGCUAGUCCAAGAUUCCGCCAUUACAUAUCAGCAGGAGGUAAGAAAAGAACUGAUUGAUGAUAUGAAGGCAAAGAUGGCAACUGAGAUGGCAAAGAAAGAUGCAUAG